GUCUGUCUGUCGGUCCGUCGGUCCGUCCACCAGGUGGUUUCCGGAUGAUAACUCAAGAACGCUUGGGCCUAGGAUCAUGAAACUUCAUUGGUACAUUGAUCAUGACUCGCAGAUGACCCCUAUUGAUUUUGAGGUCACUAGGUCAAAGGUCAAGGUCACGGUGACCCGAAAUAGUAAAAUGGUUUCCGGAUGAUAACUCAAGAACGCUUAGGCCUAGGAUCAUGAAACUUGAUAGGUAGAUUGAUCAUGACUCGCAGAUGACCCCUAUUGAUUUUCAGGUCACUAGGUCAAAGGUCAAGGUCACAGUGAC